UACGUAGGGGGCAAGCGUUAUCCGGGUUUACUGGGUGUAAAGGGGGCGCAGACGGCAAUGCAAGCCAGGAGUGAAAGCCCGGGGCCCAACCCCGGGACUGCUCUUGGAACUGCAUGGCUGGAGUACAGGAGGGGCAGGCGGAAUUCCUAGUGUAGCGGUGAAAUGCGUAGAUAUUAGGAGGAACACCGGUGGCGAAGGCGGCCUGCUGGACUGUGACUGACGUUGAGGCCCGAAGGCGUGGGGAGCAAACAGG
rnacentral:rRNA from 1 species